GACUCAGGCUCCUCCAACUAACGACGCUGCUGUGCCCGGCCUGGCUCCGCCGCCCCGCCCGAGCGACGCUGCCGUCAUCCGGCCAGCCACCGCUGGCCUCCGAUCCACACGCCACAGUCAAAUCCAACACCUCCGUCUCUUCAACUGCGGGAUUGGACAUCAGUCCUCCGCGUCCAAGUCCGGUGGAUUGCCGCCGUUGUCCUCAAUGGCAGGAUCGGGCCCGCAGCCUCAACAGCGGGGUCGUAGUCAGCGGCCACCGCGAUCCUCGCCUGCGGGAUCGGACGCCACUGCCGCAAGGUUUUACCUAAUUAUGUUUGACUAUUUGAAAUUUGAUUCGAUUCACGCUUUGAAUUAUAGCCUGGUUUUCCUUUGCUCUGACCAUCAACAAUACUCUCAAAUUUGUAGUGCUGAAAGAGAUACAUAUACCACAUUAGCUGCAUCAGUUUUUCUGUAGAGCUUCUGCAUAGAGGAGUUUGAGUACCGUUGUCUCUUUAUUCUCUUCUGUGCCAACAUUCAUAGUAUUGGCAUUUACAUAUUCUAGUUUACUAUCCGUUAUCUACCAAACAUGUCCCUGCGUGUGUACCAUGAUAAUUGCAUGGUAAUGCAAACCAGUUCUGAACCAGAUCCUGCUGGAUCACAACUUACAAGUGCUGAAUUUUCCCAGUUUUUACUGAUAACUGAAAUAUCAGUACACCCUUCACAUCAUCACAAAGUAAAGUAGUGGAUACUGACGGCUAAAUUUAGAAGGGCAAUCGGUAUUUCUUAAUGAUCAUACACGUACACCAAGUUAUCUACCCAAUCAGUAACGAUCAAUUAGCACUGGUCCCUGGAGUUUGCGGUCUAGCCUGACAGUUGGGUAAUCAUGUUGGGUAAAAAAUGCCCUCGAGUCAUUUAGGAUUCAGAUGAUCUACAAAAUCAUGUUGGGUAAAAAGGAUGCUUGUCUAGAGAGGACAAAUGUAUUUGGAGCAUGGAUGCUCCUAUUUGAAAUUUUCAGUAUGACAUGCAUGGUUCAGUUUGUGGUCAUUUUGAUGUCCGUUCUUAUUUUCCUAAAAACAUGGUUCAGUUACAUGAACAUGCCAGCAACCGAGGCAUUCACAUAGUGGUCAGAUUGAUACCUUGCUAGACUGAGAGGUUCAGGUUAGCACUGCUUCAGAAACGUGCAUCAGCUACCUCUAUUGGCUCUGUGAUCGUCUGGCUGAGAAAUUCAUGUACUGAUUGAACAACUUCAUAUCUUGCACCAGCUACUCGUAACUCAUGAAGAUAUGGCUCAGCAAGUUCGAUGAUUUUCUUGUGCUUUGUCCGUCGCUGAAGAAGCGGUGUCAUUUUGUUUGCUUCAAAAUGCAUCUGUAGAUGUUACAAAAAAUGAGAGCAGAUGAUGAGGGCGUGAUGGUGGCUCGUUGGCAAUACCUUGUCAACCUUGUAACUGAACUAGUACUACAUGUGAAGGUUGUGCCACCCCGGAAGCCACCCAGGACCCCUCUGCCGAUGCUGCCAAUACCCCACGCACCUCCGCCUUCCUCGCUAGCGCCGGCGGCCAGCUCCGUGGUGCCGCCGCCAAAGAUAGGAAGAAUAAAACAGCUCAACUGACAAUUUAAAUAUUUGUAGAGAAAUUUUACAUUUCUUACAACUGAGAAUCUGGGAAAAUAAAAUGAAGGGAUUAUCUUUGAUGUGCUGCUUACAGAUUGUGUCGGUAAGUUGUAGAGAGAACAUCUGCAUCGUGUGUUUUAUGAGUACAGUUAUGGUCUCCUGCUUCACCUA